rnacentral:rRNA from 1 species
CGUGGAUAACCUGCUUCACACUGGGGGAUAACAGUUAGAAAUGACUGCUAAUACCGCAUAAGCGCACAGUGCCGCAUGGCAGUGUGUGAAAAACUCCGGUGGUGUGAGAUGGAUCCGCGUCUGAUUAGCCAGUUGGCGGGGUAACGGCCCACCAAAGCGACGAUCAGUAGCCGACCUGAGAGGGUGACCGGCCACAUUGGGACUGAGACACGGCCCAAACUCCUACGGGAGGCAGCAGUGGGGAAUAUUGCACAAUGGGCGAAAGCCUGAUGCAGCGACGCCGCGUGAGUGAAGAAGUAUUUCGGUAUGUAAAGCUCUAUCAGCAGGGAAGAAAAUGACGGUACCUGACUAAGAAGCCCCGGCUAACUACGUGCCAGCAGCCGCGGUAAUACGUAGGGGGCAAGCGUUAUCCGGAUUUACUGGGUGUAAAGGGAGCGUAGACGGCGAAGCAAGUCUGAAGUGAAAACCCAGGGCUCAACCCUGGGACUGCUUUGGAAACUGUUUUGCUAGAGUGUCGGAGAGGUAAGUGGAAUUCCUAGUGUAGCGGUGAAAUGCGUAGAUAUUAGGAGGAACACCAGUGGCGAAGGCGGCUUA